rnacentral:rRNA from 1 species
ACUCCUACGGGAGGCAGCAGUGGGGAAUAUUGCACAAUGGGGGAAACCCUGAUGCAGCCAUGCCGCGUGUGUGAAGAAGGCCUUCGGUUGUAAAGCACUUCAGUAGGGAGGAAGGUAGUGUAGUUAACACCUGCAUUAUUUGACGUUACCUACAGAAGAAGCACCGGCUAACUCCGUGCCAGCAGCCGCGGUAAUACGGAGGGGUGCGAGCGUUAAUCGGAAUUACUGGGCGUAAAGCGCAUGCAGGCGGCCUGUUAAGUCAGAUGUGAAAGCCCGGGGGCUUAACCUCGGAAUUGCAUUUGAAACUGGCAGGCUAGAGUCUUGUAGAGGGGGUAGAAUUUCAGGUGUAGCGGUGAAAUGCGUAGAGAUCUGAAGGAAUACCAGUGGCGAAGGCGGCCCCCUGGACAAAGACUGACGCUCAGAUGCGAAAGCGUGGGGAGCGAAACAGGAUUAGAUACCCUGGUAGCACAGAG